rnacentral:ribozyme from 1 species
ACGCGGUCCCAGUACGCCAUGACCUCCUCCGAAUUACCGCGACGUUCUCUCUUCCACUGUUUCCAACCACCUUGAGG